UACGUAGGGGCCAAGCGUUGUCCGGAUUUAUUGGGCGUAAAGAGCUCGUAGGCGGUUGGGUAAGUCGGGUGUGAAAACUCCAGGCUCAACUUGGAGAUGCCACCCGAUACUGCUCUGACUUGAGUUCGGUAGGGGAGUGGGGAAUUCCUGGUGUAGCGGUGAAAUGCGCAGAUAUCAGGAAGAACACCCGUGGCGAAGGCGGCUCUCUGGGACGGUACUGACGCUGAGACGCGAAAGCGUGGGGAGCGAACAGG
rnacentral:rRNA from 1 species